GAUGAACGCUGGCGGCGUGCUUAACACAUGCAAGUCGAGCGGAAAGGCCCUUUCGGGGGUACUCGAGCGGCGAACGGGUGAGUAACACGUGAGCAACCUGCCCUGGACUUUGGGAUAACCCUCGGAAACGGGGGCUAAUACCGGAUAUUACCUUUGCCUGCAUGGGUGUUGGUGGAAAGUUUUUCGGUCUGGGAUGGGCUCGCGGACUAUCAGCUUGUUGGUGGGGUGAUGGCCUACCAAGGCGACGACGGUUAGCCGGCCUGAGAGGGCGACCGGCCACACUGGGACUGAGACACGGCCCAGACUCCUACGGGAGGCAGCAGUGGGGAAUAUUGCACAAUGGGCGGAAGCCUGAUGCAGCGACGCCGCGUGAGGGAUGACGGCC
rnacentral:rRNA from 1 species